UCCAGUGUAGUCCAAUAGGUAGAGACAGCUGACUGUUAAUCAGUGUGUUGUAGGUUCGAGCCCUACCGCUGGAGCCA
rnacentral:tRNA from 1 species